CAAAGGGUAAGCUAAAUAAAGCUUUUGGGCUCAUAACCCAACAAUAGAGUAAUCUUCCUUUGAC
rnacentral:tRNA from 1 species